rnacentral:lncRNA from 1 species
GAGGCUUAGUGGCCAUUUGAUACUGGUUGUCAAUAUGCAGAGGAUUUCUGUAUUGAAAGCUCAGCUCUCCAGAGAAGAUGAAGAGAGAGGCUUGAGAGACAGACGCUACUAAGACGGUAUCUGAUAGGCCGGUUUCCUUACAUGCUUCAAGAAUAAGAUGCCCUAUGGGAGUUGGUUAGCUACAGUUUGGUCCCAAGUUGAGUGACGUUUCCCAUGCUAUGGCAGCCUACUGUCCCUCAGCUGACCUCCAUCUGUUCCCUCUUUUGUUGUCCACAUGGUUGCUUCCCCUGGCUGUAUUAUCCUGCCCAAGUCCCAGGUCUAGGGGCAACUUGGCUUUACUCACCAUAUCCCGGGGCCCAUUCUUCUGCCUCUCUCCACUGGCUGAUCCCUGUCCCAAGCCAAAUUCUCUGUGGCAUCCUGGCCCCCAGCGCAAGGUGAUAUCUCCCCCUGCUCUUCACAGGACGUGCUCUCCUUGGCCGUGGGGCCACGGGACCCUGACGAGGGAGUCUCCCCAGAGCAUCUGGAACAGCUCCUAGGCCAGCUGGGCCAGACGCUGCGGUGCCGCCAGGUGAGCUGUGGCAUCUGCCACCGGAGGGCUUUUUUCUGUGUCCUUGUGUGAGACCUGAUAACCAGAGCCACACUGGCUCAGGGCCAGUUCUCGCAGCAGUAAGCAUGGUGAUACCUAUGGUCUCUCUUUCCACCCCCCCCAACCGCAGUUCCUGUGCCCACCUGCUGAGCAGCAUCUGGCAAAGUGCUCUGUGGAGUUAGCUUCCCUCCUCGUUGCAGAUCAAAUUCCUAUCCUAGGGCCCCCGGCACAGUACAGGCUGGAGAGAGGGCAGGCUCGAAGGCUUCUGCACAUGCUGCUUUCCUUGUGGAAGGAAGACUUUCAGGGGCCGGUUCCGCUGCAGCUGCUGCUGAGCCCAAGAAAUGUGGGGCUUCUGGCAGACACAAGGCCAAGGGAGUGGGACUUGCUGCUAUUCUUGCUCCGGGAGCUGGUGGAGAAGGGUCUGAUGGGACGGAUGGAGAUAGAGGCCUGCCUGGGCAGCCUCCACCAGGCCCUGUGGCCAGGGGACUUUGCUGAAGAAUUAGCAACACUGUCUAAUCUGUUUCUAGCCGAGCCCCACCUGCCAGAACCCCAGCUAAGAGCUUGUGAGUUGGUGCAGCCAAACCGGGGCACUGUGCUGGCCCAGAGCUAGGGCUGAGAAGUGGCCCUGCCUUGGGCAUCGCACCAGAACCCUGGACCCCCGCCUCACGAGGAGGCCCAAGUGCCCAAUGCAGACCCUCACUGGUUGGGGUGUAGCUGGGUCUACAGUCAGACUUCCUGCUCUAAGGGUGUUGCUGCCUGGCAUCCCACCACGCGAAUCCUAGAGGAAGGAGAGUUGGCCUGAUUCGGGAUUAUGGCAGAAAAGCCCAGAGAUGCCAGUCCUGGAGUAGAAGAGGUGGUGUUUGUUUAUCUCUUGGAUGCUAAAUGAAAUGAGGUGUGUGGGCUUGUCAACACAGAAUUCAAGCCUCAUUUGCUAUCCCAGCAUCUCUUAAAACUUUGUAGUCUUGGAAUUCAUGACAGAGGCAAAUGACUUCUGCUUAACUUAUGAAGAAAGUUAAAACAUGAAUCUUGGGAGUCUACAUUUUCUUAUCACCAGGAGCUGGACUGCCAUCUCCUUAUAAAUGCCUAACACAGGCCGGGUCUGGUGGCUCAUGCCUGUAAUCCCAGCACUUUGAGAGGCCCGAGGUCGGCGGACUGCCUGAGGUCAGGAAUUCAAGACCAGCCUGGCCAACAUGGCAAAACCCCGUCUCUACUAAAAAUAAAAUUAUUAGCUGGGCAUGGUGGUGUGUGCCUGUAAUCCCAGCUACUCAGGAGGAUGAGGCAGGAGACCUGCUUGAACCUGGAGGUGGAGGUUGCAGUGAGCCGAGGUCGCACGACUGCACUCCAGUCUGGGUAACAGAGCGAGACUUUCUAGAAAAAGCCUAACAAACAGAUAAGGUAGGACUCAACCAACUGAAACCUGACUUUCCCCCUGUACCUUCAGCCCCUGUGCAGGUAGUAACCUCUUGAGACCUCUCCCUGACCAGGGAC